ACAGUCUGCAUGAUUAUUUUCAUGGUCUUGACUUCUGUCAUCUAUUCCCAUCAAGAACGAAAGUUCUCAAUGCUGGAGAGCUGGAUGAAAAGCCAUACUUCUGAUCUAACCUCAGUCAAAUCUGAUUUUCAGAACACAGGAGGUGAUCUAAAAAAGAAGGUUGCUGAGCUGCAGAACUUAGUGUUCAGCCUGAGUUCAUAUUUGAACACGUCUGGAUCAAGUAACCCAGAGACCAGAGGUUGGUGCCUUGUCUUUGCCUUAUUGUUUUAUUUUUGGGAGAUUGAAUGAAUUGAUUGAUUGUAAUCUUUUUAUCAUAACCUGAUCUGAAAUUUCAACAGAACACUCUUCAAAUUGUCUCCAUGAAGAAUGUUGUAUCUAAAGUCUGUCUUGGCAUCUUUAAUGCACAGAAUAUUUUGACUCUGACAGAAAAGUCAACCUCAAUAGAGCAUGAUGGCUAACUAUCCCUUUCCUCUUUGACUUUUGACGCUGAAAAUAGUCUAAGACAUGAUAUCUGCAUAAAAAGCGUUGAUUAUUUCUUUAUUAUCUGUCUCUUUGACUCUAUAUGCAAAAGAAAUGCAAAUAAAGAAGCUGUCUAAUAUUGAGACCCUGAUGAGCGAUCUUGGCUCGUCACUGAGUUCACUCGCAUCCAAACAAGAAGAAAACCUACAAAAGCUGAAGCAUCAGCAGGAUGUGUCACACACUGAAGUCAAGAGUUUGAUGGACGGUUUGAGUUCAGCAGUAUCGACUCUUAGGAGUAAACUAACAGAGGACAGUCCAAGGUCUAUUUUACGCACACAACAUU